UAAAAAUAACUGACUUCAACACGUAAGCAUUUUGUUUUCUCUGAUCUAUCAAAAUGUUUCACAUAUUUUUACCAAAAACAUCAUCGUUAUCCUUCCAUUUUCAGCUUUUUUAUUUUUCACAAACAAUUCUCUCACAGAUAAAAUUUCCUCUGGCAUAAAUCAUAAGCAAACGCUUCGGGUCGAUUUUUUCAAUUGAGAAAUUUGCAUUCUAGAAAUCCUUUGUAAGGUCGUAUUAAUACAAAUAAUCCGACACUUACAACCAUAAAAGGUAAAUCAUUUAUGUAAACACUUGAAAUAACAAAUUUCAAACCCAUUAACUUGUUGUUUAUUUCAGCAUUCGCAUAAAGUAGCCCAAAGCAUCCUUAAUCCGUAUUUAUUAAUUAUAGGGGAGACCGGAAUCAUCGCGACUUAUUUAUGAGAAAAAAAACUUGUAGCAGCAUCAAAGGGUUGGGAGCUUUCAUUAAGAAAAAUAAACAUUGCCGGGAAGUUCCCGACACAAUUCUGGUUUUAUUUUUCCAGAGAUGAUUAAUGACGAAAAUAAUGAUGAGAAAAAGUAAUUAGAGUUUGGCCUUUAUUGUAACAAGAAACAAUUAAAAUGGAAUUAUGUAUACACGUGAGGUGAAGUAUCGCAGAAAGGACUUGAAUCGAUUUCCUCCUUAUCCAAUUUGAACCGAACCCACCCAAAUGCACUUAGAUGCAAUGAGUCACUAAAGCCUCCUUCAACGACAAGGUUGUUGUCCUCUGCAGAAGCCACAGCCUCAUCUUUAUGUGAGACCGAAUUACCAUCACAGUACGACUUCCAACGGUAUCUUCUCUUGUCCCAUAUGGGAAAAGAAAGGCAUUCUAAGUUCGUUUAAGUCGAUCGGAAACGAAGAAAAAAUCGCAUUACCUAUCAACCCACGGAAUGUGUGCCAUUGGAAGAGAAGUUGUGUAGAUUCCUUUCAUCGAGAUGUUAACGAAUCGAAAUUGCUUCUCGAGUAUCACAAGUACACAACUUAAACCUCAAUUAGUGGAGUACUUAUGCCAAGAUGCUUGAUGCCACUAUUUAUUGAGGUGCGACCUUUUGCACUCCAUGAAAGAAAUAUAUUUGCGAUUUCUCCCCUUAUCAAAGGCUUACAUAACGUUUCUACGAUUGCAUAUUUCGAGUGGGUUUUACUAGACUUACAGAAAAAAUAUUGUGGGCUUGGAGUGGGUUUUCCUGAACGACCCUGAUCCAAAUGGCAAUGUAAAAAUUCUUACCAUCUGCGAGUAAUUCGCUCGAAAAUACACGCCCUAAAGUGUGAACUAUUUUUUUCGGAUAGCUUAAGCAAUUUAUUGGAAAGCCAUAUAUCAUAUCAAAUUAUCGAUUAAAUGUCGGUCUAAUGGUAUUAAUAGAUGAGUAUUAAAUAGAUUAAUUCCUUGCCUUUAGGGAAUGGAAUUGAUUCCGCCUUCUCACGACUAUAAUUAAAUUAUAAACACAUUUUAAAAACAAUUCAGGCAUGAGCUCUCUUUAGGAUGAGUGGCACGUUUUGGUCACACUCCAAAAUUUGUCAGCACCUGACCCUAAGGUUAACAAAUUAAUUCGAAAUAAAUUUUGACCCCUGACAAUUCAAACUAACCGUAAAAUUAACGGUAAAUCAUCACUUAUCGAAAAAUUUCCAAAGCACGUCCAAACGACUCGAAAACGCGCAUCCAAGCAGUGAACGAACCAAUCGUGUAGGUGUUGACAUUUUCCGAUUUGGUGAAUUUUUCGAUUAUGGUGCACCAUCGGGCAAGGUCAAGGACCCAACCGGUGCAAUAAGUUGCCGCUUGCUGCACUUGAGAACAAAGAUGGGGCGGACAGACACGGAAAGGGUUUCUUGUUCGCAUGCGGAUGUGGGUAACCCAACAGGUGGCAUGCCAAUGAACAAAGCUUUUUGCGGGAAGCCGGAAGAGGAGAAACGGCAACGGUGGAUAAAGAAACGAGAAGUGAUCGAGUUUGGAUUGUUUUAAAGGUUUUCUCACACCGUAUUUCGUGAUUUCACACAGAAUGUAGUUGCCUUGAACCCAAAAGAAGCCCACAGCAGAAAAAAAGUCCCAAAUAUGUAACUAAUUUUGCUAAUACGAAUAAAUAAUUCGCAUUCGGUUUCAAUGAUCAUCCAUCAUCUCCUCAAGUUGACCACUAAGAGACAUGGCUACUUAUUAACUUCCCAACUACUGUUCUUGCGAACCCAUUACG